UCUCCGUAGGUGAACCUGCGGAAGGACCAUUAUUGUAUAACCGAGGUGCGAGGGCUGUCGCUGACCCGAAAGGUCGUGCACGCCCGAGUGCCCUCACACACAUCCAUCUCACCCCUAUGUGCACCACCGCGUGGGUCCCCCUUUGGCUUGUCGGGGGGGGGCCUUCCUUUUUCACACAACUUUGGUAUGCAUUGAAGAUGGUUUUUUUUGUUUUUGCGUUACGGCAUUAAAACCAACUUUCAACAACGGAUCCUUUGCCUCUCGCAUCGAUAAAAAAGC
rnacentral:misc_RNA from 1 species